UACGAAGGGUGCAAGCGUUACUCGGAAUUACUGGGCGUAAAGCGCACGUAGGCGGCUUCUUAAGUCAGGGGUGAAAUCCUGGAGCUCAACUCCAGAACUGCCUUUGAUACUGGGAGGCUCGAGUCCGGGAGAGGUGAGUGGAACUGCGAGUGUAGAGGUGAAAUUCGUAGAUAUUCGCAAGAACACCAGUGGCGAAGGCGGCUCACUGGCCCGGUACUGACGCUGAGGUGCGAAAGCGUGGGGAGCAAACAGG
rnacentral:rRNA from 1 species